UUUUUUUUUUUUUUUUUUUUGGCGCCACCCAUGACACGUGGAAGUUCCUAGGCCAGGGUUGGAAUCCCCCCCACCAGCACAGUGACCCAAGCUGCUGCAGAGACAGCGCUGGAUUCCCUAACCCCCUGUGCCGCACGGAAACUCAUGCAUAGGGCUCUCAGAGAUCUGUUUAUUCCUGUCUCUAUGAUUUAUCAUCGUGGAGAGCAAGUUUACAUUCCUGUCGUCAAAAUCAUAGCUGUAGAUGCUCUGAGGGUGGAACCAGCCAUGACUGGGUAUAAUUCUGGAGACCUUUGCCUGAACACUGCCUGCACAAAAUGCUUGUAAUGCCUCAUUUUUGGAUACUUGCUGCAAACUCAGAGGAGCAAGCGAAGGAUGGGCCAUGACCUAAUUUUCAGGACAAUAUAAUACGGCUGAUUUUAUGCAAAAUUAAUUACAGAAUUAAAGACGGAAGCAUUCCUUCGCCCAAGCGGUUUUAUCAUUCACCUGCAAAAUCCUUUUCUCUCCUGUCGCUGUCAGCACCAUUUGGUCUCUUUCUCAUCAUUCAAAACACUCCAUCCACAUAAUUAACAAAUUGGACUGUGGACACCACCUCAUCAACUUCGGGCUGGGCUGAAGUCUACAUUUGUUUUAUCCAUACGUAGAGACGUCCUCAGUGCAGAGGGAGUUCCCGUCAUGGCUCAGCAGAAACGAAUCCGACUAGCAUCCACGAGGAAUCAGGUUCGAUCCCUGGCCUCGCUCCAUGGGUUAAGGAUCCAGCGUUGCUGUGAGCUGUGGUGUAGGUCGCAGAUGCAGCUUGGAUCCUGCGUUGCCGUGGCUGGCAGAUGCACCUCCGUUUGGACUCCUAGCCUGGGAACAUCCAUAUGCCACAGGUGGAACCCUAAAAAGCAAAAAGCCCCUCCCCCCCCCAAAAAAAACCACAAAAAAACAAAACCCUGAGAUGUCUGUUACUUUGUUUCCUCCUGUGUUCACCUAGCAUCUCCAUAGUACAGUACUGUUGCUGGGGGAUUAGACAGGCGUAAUGGACGGAUGUCCACUUCUGGCCAAGAAGGAUGAACAGGGACUGGAUUCAGUCUCCCCCGUGAAACAGCCAUUAAAACGAAUAAAAUAUAAGGGAUGGUGAGUGUCAUGAAGCUGGACAUGUGACACUGCAGAGCCCUGAGGGACAGGACACAAAUAAGGUGAAUGGUGCGAUGGCUGGAGACUUUGAAGAGGUGUCAGGAUGCAGUGGGCUGUGGGGUGGGGGGGCAGGGACUGAAGCAGAGCCUGACAAACUCUGAGUGGCAGAGAUGGACAAUGCAUUUGCCAGAGUCCACAGGAGAGAGUGCCAGACAGGAGAGAGAGCGGAACCAAGAGGGAGUGCCCCUUUGAGGUGUCAGCAGAAGUCUGAUCUGUGCAAAACUGUGAGAAAACCACAUGAGGCCCAAGAAAGAAUCACCUCAGAUGGGAUGAGAGAGAAUCGUGUUUGGGGCUCACCCAGGGCUGGGAAGAGUGCCUGAUUCCACAAGCUAGACCAUAAUUCAUGGAGCACUGAACAGAGUAUUCAAAAAGGUCUUGCCUUAGUAAUGGGCCUGAAUUAGCCCUAGAUUAAGCAAUGCUCUGAACCUUCCUAUCAAAUCAUAAAGCAACAGUUGCAAAUUAUUUCUAAGUAACCUAAGGGAAAAUUGUACACCUUCGGAAUAGUUACAGGAAUGCAAAAAUAUCUAGUAUCUAAAAAGUUAGAAACACAUCUAGCAUCCAACUGAAAAUUUCCAGGCAUACAAGGAAGCAAGAAAAAAAAUGCCCGAUUUUUUUUUUUUUUUUCACUUUUUAGGGCCGCACCUGCAGCAUAUGUAAGUUCCAAGGCUAGGGGUCCAAUUGGAGCUGGAGCUGCAGGCUUAUGCCACAGCCACAGCCACAGCCACACCAGAUCCCAGCAGAGUCUGAGACAUACGCCACAAGCUCACAGCAACACUGUAUCCUUAACCCAAGGAGAAAGGCCAGGGACCGAACCAAUACCCUCAAGGACACUAUGGUAGGUUCUUAAUCCACUGAGCCACAAUGAGAACUCCCAGUGAUCCAUGAGUUAAAAAAAAAAAAAAAAAAAAUUGAACUGAUGCAGAGGUUAGAAGAUGCUUUUAAUUCUCAAAGGUUCUGCUCUGUAUUUUCUUUUCAAAUCGUUAGGGUUUUAGGUUUAUAUAUAAAUCUAUGACCUACUCUGAGUUAAUAGUAGCAUGUACAUUUGUUUGUAUGUAUCAUUUGUAGGUAUAGAUCAAAGUUCAUUUUUUGCAUAUGGAUAUCCAAAUGUUCCAAUAUUAUUAGCUGAAAAGACUCCUUUUCUUUUUUGCUUUUUUUUUUUUUUUUUUUUUUUUUUUUCUUUGCUCUUUAGGGCCGCACUGGUGGCAUAUGGAG
ensembl:lncRNA